UGGGUCCAUGAUGAUGACUGGUGGCGUUUGAGUCUUGGAUGAUGAAUACGUGUCUGGAACUCUGAGAUCCAA
ensembl:snoRNA